rnacentral:lncRNA from 1 species
UAUCUGAUUCACGUAGAGAAGGAGAGGCUGUCUGGCUGCCUGGUACACUCUGAGGGGAAGACCUACGUACUCGAAUCGGAGCUUUAUCUGACUCGGGCACAGCAGAAGCUGGUGUGAUUGGCCUUCCUUCACUUUCAGGCAGAUUUCUAUGGCUGCCAGGUAACCCGUGAGAAGAAGAUCUGCGUAUUCGGAUCGGAGCUUUAUCUGACUCGGGCACAGCAGAAGCUGGUGUGAUUGGCCUUCCUUCACUUUCAGGCAGAUUUCUAUGGCUGCCAGGUAACCCGUGAGAAGAAGAUCUGCGUAUUCGGAUCGGAGCUUUAUCUGAUUCAGGUACAGCAACAGAGGCUGUAAUGGGUGCCGACAGAGGAGUUGGUGGACUUCUAUCUGCUUCAGGAGUUGUAUCACUUGCUAUUGCGGCAGUCUCAAUUGUUUCGGGAACGGGAUUAUCUCCG